GGAGGAAGAAUAUGAUGUGCUUGCCUUUCAGACAGGUUAAGCUCAAGGGUACAAUGAUCUCAGACAUUUAAGAAUUUUUAUUUUAGAUGUUUCAAUUUCUUUGUUUUCUUUCUUUCCAUUGGGAAAACAUUUUAUGGUUCUGUCUACAGGGCUUUACUGUUGUUCACUUCUGUUCCUCUCCCCUCGUUUCCGUAACACGGUACGGACUGCCACUUCACGUCCGGUCAGCAUUUUUACUGCCCCAGUCUCCAUUUGCUCAACACUCCCUCUCUCCCAAAGCUCUGUUGAGGGGUGUGUUAACCCUGAAGGCCUGGGCCUUCAAAAAGUACCAUCUAUAGAUAUCCUCUUAUGACUUCACAAUCUCCAUAUUCUUCUCCAACUGCUCACCUACCUACAUUCCAGUCUGAUCAUUCCAGGGGCCGGGGGAAUACCAUGAUAUACACUUUGUAUCUGCAAGCUGGGCAAAUGACUCAACUUACAGACAGACAGAGUGAGACUCAGUGUGUUUAGAGCCAGGAACAACCGGUGAAACCUCCCACACCCACCAUUGAGUGUGGACCUGAAGUAACUCAAGCCUCCCGGCCUCCAGGAACUGGCCCCUACCUGCUCCACAUGUUGAGGCCAGCUCAAUGACCAGAAACUCACCUUUCAUUCUAGCCCACUGGGAUCAGCCAAGGUCUUCUGAAUAAAAACGACUCUGGAAUGCCGGUGAGGACAGUGAGGGGAGGCCUACAGAGUCUCCUGCUAAAAAGGUGUAGUACGGCCCACUAAGAUGGGGCCAAAGACUGAGGUCUGAGUACAGAAGUCGAAGUUCUUACACAGCACGUUUAAGUGCAGGUGAAAGGAAUCAGACUAGAAAUAAAGAAACCCAAGUUCCAAAUGGCUUUAAAAUAAAGUACUUUAAACUUGGCCACACCUCAGCAGACUCAACAGUGGACUCAACAGCUAACCCUCCUCAGUUCGCCUGCCACUCGCACCCUGCUACCUCAUCCACGACCCUGCCAACACUCGCUUCGAUGGGAAUUUCUGUUGCUAAAGGCCAAGUGGCUUGUUUUAGGUAUAUUAUUAAUUGGUUCCAUGGAAAAACAGGUUUGAUUCUUUAACUGUUCGACUUGCCAAGUUAUCACUCAGCCGUAGCUCACAGAAAAAUUAGACUGAAAUCCAUGAGGCAGUGCCUGAGCAGAUGCCGGUGUGGACUGGGGGAGAGGAGUCUGAGCCCUGGGUCACCAGAAGCUUCAGGAAGGGGACCAUAUCCUCACAGGCACCCGUGACAUCUAUCCAAAUGUGUAAGAAUCUGGCUUUAGAGCAGUUUAAGAGUUCCACAAAACAAGGGAGUUGCUCGUGACCACGAGCGUUUUUGACCACAGGACUUCUGGCCAGUAAGAGUUAAAGCCACUUUUAACACAGCACAGGCCUGAGAUCUCAAUUACUUAAAAAUCAGCGAUGACCUGGUCUGAGAGUAGGACCAACCGCAUUAUCACAAAGUAAAAAGAAUAUGUGAGUUUGUACAUUCACUUUAAAAAGCCUGUAAGUUGCCUGUCUGCAUAACCCUGGGUUAAGAGCAGAGGAUUUUGAGAUGAAGCAAAAAUAAACUCUGCCUCAAAGGGCUCAUCACUGGGGAAAGGCAGUAAACAAGAUAAUCACAAUAACAGUGUGAGAAGUACUAAGCACUGCUCUGGUGGCUCUGAGGCCAAGACUGAGCAGCUACUACUCCUUCAUUUCUACCUGGUAGAUAAAACACAGAUGGUGGGAGUGCCUGCCCUGCCUUGCCAGUGUGCACUGCUGCUGACUAAGCCUCAGGUCCAGGGCCAAGUCCCCUCUUCACCCCCGCAAGUGGCCUUCUCACCACGUGGUGGUCAAGACAGCAAAGUGUGAGCUCCUCAGGGGUCCUGAGGGGAGGCUAAGGGCAAGCCUGGUGCCUCCCCCAGUUUUGAGUUUGGCUUUCUGUUUUCCCUGGGAAGGGAUGAACUCUCUGGCCAGAAACCUCACCCUCUCCUCCACUAGCUCCUUCUUCUUGGGCUCAAGAUUCUCUCAUCCCCAAAACUUGCCUCCUGGACCACCACCCCUAGCAGCUGUGGCCCACUCAUUCCUUCCCAAAUUCUCGAAAGUCAUCUAGCUCUGUAGCCUGCUCACACAUGGCUUCCACCUACACCCAUGUUUCUUUCCCACUCCAGCAAGCAGCUCUCUGACCGGUAUGGGAGCGCUGCUUUCCACUCAGUUCCCCGCCACUCCGGCCCUUCCAAAGCCUGCCCCUGCCUGCCUCCCUGGAGCCCUCUGUCCAGGCCCUCAUCUGACCCUUUGCUGCUUAGCGGUUUCCAUCAGGAGUCUUCUGCCCUCAUCCUCUGCUGGCCUUCCCCAGAGCUGUUUUCAGUCACAGGUCAGUCAGUCUGUGGGAAUUCCACCAGCCCUGUGGCUUUGGGGCCCCACUGUGUCUGUCAUGAGCUUUAGUUUCCCUUUUUUUUUUUUGUUUACUUACCUAUAUCACCAUUUACUUUAUCAUAUAAACACCUCAAACUCAAUAUAUUCAAACUCAUUUUCUUUCUUCCAAAUUCUAGUCCUCUUCUUUAAUUUCUAGUUCCUCCUCAGCUAACGAGCUAGGAAUUAUACAGCAAUCUGCAAUUCCUCCCUCUCCCUCACCCCCGAAAUCCGAGUGUUCACCGUGUCCUGAUUCUACUCCGAAAUAUUUCUAGAAUCUGUCCUUUCCUCUCCCUCCCUACUCCCACUGCUUUACUACCUUGCAAUCUUUUGCCUGAACUAGCUACCAAAGUGGUUUCUGGGCCCAGCCUCCUCCGCUGGCUCCUUCCUAUUCAUUCCCACCUUGCCCUCAGCCCGGAAGUGUACCGAGGCCCUCCCACACCCCUGCUCCACAGCCUUCCAGCACCCACCAUCAGAAAUGGAACGCAUUUUGAACAACUGGUCCCCAAGGCUCUUCACAAUCAGGUUUGCCAAAUAAACUUACCAGCCUCUCUGCAGCAAGGUGGAGUCAUAUGACUAAAUCGUGGCCACUGGCUUUUGUAAGAGAGGGAUGCAUUUCACUUCCAGACCUGACCCUGAAAUGCCUGACAUGCCAGCUGCAAGUACAGGGUGUAGUAGAGGAUGCAGAGGCCACAGGGAAUGUUGGAAUUACUGUGGAUGGAGAGGAGCCUGGGUCCCAGAGGGCCCCAUGAGGCAGGCCGCCUCCCCACCUUCCCAUCCCCACUUAACUGGUGUCACAAGAAAUAAACUUUUACCAUGUUAGCCAGAGGUUAGGAGCCAUUUGUUGUCGGUGUUAGACUUUCCUAAUAUAGCCUCCAUUUCAAUGUGCACGUGUGCGUGUGAGCGUGUAUGCGUGUGUGUGUGUGUGUGGUGCAGUCAGAGCUGGGGGUCAGAGGAGGGUCUAUUCGUGCAUUUGUAGAGGAGUGAGGAGGUUGUGGUGAUAAAAUGGCAUCAGGAGGAUCCUCCUAGUGGUGGAGUUGUUCUACCUCUUGAUUCCGUUAAUGUCAGUAUCCUGCUUGUUGAUAACAGACUACAGUUGUUCCAGAUAGUCCCAUCGAGGGGAAAUAUACACAGAUCUCUCUGUAUUAUUUAUUAUACCUACAUGCGAUUUAUAAUCACCUCAAAAUUAAGUUCUUAAAACCCACAAAAGGCUAUAGAGUAAAUAUGGAGUAAUAUUAACAAAACCAUGGAAGGUAGUUUCUCUCUUGUUUUUGGAAGACAGACAUAAAAUGGCCUCAGGCACAGAGGAAUCCUUAGGCUCAGAUGUGUAACUCAAUGCCAACCUUUUUACCUUUUUUUUUUUUUAACCUUAAAAAUAAGGACAAUACCUGCCCACCUAUUUCAUGAGGUUUUAGGGAGAUCAAAUUAAAUGAGGUGAUAAAUGGGAAAGUAUUUUGAGCAAAUGCUGAUUUUUUUUUUUUUUUUU